rnacentral:rRNA from 1 species
GAGGAAUAUUGGACAAUGGAUGGAAAUCUGAUCCAGCCAUGCCGCGUGCAGGAAGGCGGCCCUAUGGGUUGUAAACUGCUUUUGUACGGGAGCAAUAAGGUCUACGAGUAGAUUGAUGAGAGUACUGUACGAAUAAGCAUCGGCUAACUCCGUGCCAGCAGCCGCGGUAAUACGGAGGAUGCGAGCGUUAUCCGGAUUUAUUGGGUUUAAAGGGUGCGUAGGCUGUUAUGUAAGUCAGUGGUAAAAGGUACAGGCUUAACUUGUAUAUGCCAUUGAAACUGUAUAGCUAGGAUAUGGAUGAAGUGUGCGGAAUGUGUGGUGUAGCGGUGAAAUGCAUAGAUAUCACACAGAACACCGAUAGCGAAGGCAGCACACUAAGGCAAUAUUGACGCUGAGGCACGAAAGUGUGGGGAUCAAAC